rnacentral:rRNA from 1 species
CGAAGGGUGCAAGCGUUAUCCGGAUUCAUUGGGUUUAAAGGGUGCGUAGGUGGGGCGAUAAGUCAGUGGUGAAAUCCUGCGGCUUAACCGUAGAAUUGCCAUUGAUACUGUCGCUCUUGAGUACGCUUGACGUGGGCGGAAUGUGCCGUGUAGCGGUGAAAUGCUUAGAUAUGGCACAGAACACCGAUAGUGAAGACAGCUCACGAAGGCGAAACUGACACUGAGGCACGAAAGCGUGGGGAUCGAACAGGAUUAGAUACCCUGGUAGUCCACGCCGUAAACGAUGAUCACUCGUGAUUGGCGAUAUACGGUCAGUCACCUAGCGAAAGCGUUAAGUGAUCCACCUGGGGAGUACGAUCGCAAGAUUG